rnacentral:rRNA from 1 species
UUGAAAGCUGGCGGCAUGCCUUACACAUGCAAGUCGAACGGCAGCACGGGUGCUUGCACCUGGUGGCGAGUGGCGAACGGGUGAGUAAUACAUCGGAACAUGUCCUGUAGUGGGGGAUAGCCCGGCGAAAGCCGGAUUAAUACCGCAUACGAUCUACGGAUGAAAGCGGGGGACCUUCGGGCCUGGCGCUAUAGGGUUGGCCGAUGGCUGAUUAGCUAGUUGGUGGGGUAAAGGCCUACCAAGGCGACGAUCAGUAGCUGGUCUGAGAGGACGACCAGCCACACUGGGACUGAGACACGGCCCAGACUCCUACGGGAGGCAGCAGUGGGGAAUUUUGGACAAUGGGCGAAAGCCUGAUCCAGCAAUGCCGCGUGUGUGAAGAAGGCCUUCGGGUUGUAAAGCACUUUUGUCCGGAAAGAAAUCCUUGGCCCUAAUACGGUCGGGGGAUGACGGUACCGGAAGAAUAAGCACCGGCUAACUACGUG